AGAGGGUGCAAUGGAAAUCAGCGCGCGACAUUUAAUGCUCGAUAUUUGACUCCACUGUCAUGUCGAGCUAGCUCUGCUGUCUGUAAUAUUCCUGGCGGACCGACCAGACAGUACAGACACACUGCAUAUAAGCAACACGCGAGUGCGCCCCCACGCGUGCACGUGUGUAUACAUGAGCGUACGGUGGUCGCUUCAAUCCUACAUCAUAGGUCUGCUAUUCCCUAAGUGGGAUCAACCCCGUCCAAAAUUCGAAAAAGUGGAAUACUAACGCUCCACUUAGUAGAGCUACUUUAAUCUGUUUAUUUUCGCGACUUCGUGUGUCAUCAAGAACUUAGUCGUUGAGGAAUGGCUGGCACACCUACGUGAUGACAUUGAUUGAUGGAGCAUCUUGAAUGGAGAGGAAGACAUUAAGAGAAGAUGAUGGAGCAAGGAGUGACCAAUGAGUGGGCAGCAUCAGUGGAGAGCACAGCACCUGACUCUGACAAGUUUGGCCUCGCAGAAAAUGAUGAAGAUGACUCUGAUGUUAGCCGUAGCACAGACAGUGAAGG